GACGAACGCUGGCGGCGUGCUUAACACAUGCAAGUCGAACGAAAAGAGGGAAAGAGCUUGCUCUUUCCGGAAUUGAGUGGCAAACGGGUGAGUAACACGUAAACAACCUGCCUUCAGGAUGGGGACAACAGACGGAAACGACUGCUAAUACCGAAUAAGUUCCAAGGGCCGCAUGGCCCAUGGAAGAAAAGGUGGCCUCUACCUGUAAGCUAUCGCCUGAAGAGGGGUUUGCGUCUGAUUAGCUGGUUGGAGGGGUAACGGCCCACCAAGGCGACGAUCAGUAGCCGGUCUGAGAGGAUGAACGGCCACACUGGAACUGAGACACGGUCCAGACUCCUACGGGAGGCAGCAGUGGGGAAGCUUCCGCAAUGGGCGAAAGCCUGACGGAGCAACGCCGCGUGAGUGAUGACGGCCUUCGGGUUGUAAAACUCUGUGAUCCGGGACGAAAAGGCAGAGUGCGAAGAACAAACUGCAUUGACGGUACCGGAAAAGCAAGCCACGGCUAACUACGUG
rnacentral:rRNA from 1 species